rnacentral:rRNA from 1 species
UACGUAGGUGGCAAGCGUUAUCCGGAUUUACUGGGUGUAAAGGGCGUGUAGGCGGCUCCGCAAGUCAGAUGUGAAAUUCCCGGGCUUAACCCGGGCGCUGCAUCUGAAACUGCGGAACUUGAGUACUGGAGAGGAUGGUGGAAUUCCUAGUGUAGCGGUAAAAUGCGUAGAUAUUAGGAGGAACACCAGUGGCGAAGGCGGCUAUCUGGACAGUAACUGACGCUGAGGCGCGAAAGCGUGGGGAGCAAACAGG